CGGGGCUUAAAGUCUUGUAAUUGGAAUGAUGGGAAUUUAAACCUCUUCCAGAGUAUCAAUUGGAGGGCAAGUCUGGUGCCAGCAGCCGCGGUAAUUCCAGCUCCAAUAGCGUAUAUUAAAAUUGUUGCAGUUAAAAAGCUCGUAGUUGAAUUUCUGCUGCAUUGCUUUUGUCCCUCUGGGGUCUGUGCAUGUGGCUUUUUUCGGACGGAGUUUCUUUGUCUGAAUGUUUACUUUGAGAAAAUUAGAGUGCUCAAAGCAGGCUUUCGCCUUGAAUAGUUUAGCAUGGAAUAAUAAAGUAGGACUUUGGUUCUAUUUUGUUGGUUUUAGGUACCAAAGUAAUGGUUAAUAGGAACAGUUGGGGGCAUUCGUAUUUAACUGUCAGAGGUGAAAUUCUUAGAUUUGUUAAAGACGAACUACUGCGAAAGCAUUUGCCAAGGAUGUUUUCAUUAAUCAAGAAC
rnacentral:rRNA from 1 species